CUCCAGGAAAAGCUUCAUACCUUAAAAUGUCUCUGGUUUGAAGCACCAUGGCAAGAAUGUGACUCUUUCCUCAGCAGGAAGGUAUCUCUGCCUCUUACAACUCAGUCAGUGUUGUUCUUUGUUUUCGGGGUUCGUUUUAACAGUCUUCAGUUCUCACUCAGAGGUAAUCAUUCCACAGGGGUAAAUUUGUUGUGUCCAUUGGAGAAGGUCAGUUCAGAGUCCUGUGUUACCACCUUCCCAGCAAUCCUCUUGUCAUUGAUUUUUGACUGUUUUGUUAUCACGUGUCUUGGAGAGGGUCCUUUUGUGUUGAGAUAAUUGAGUGUUCUACUUGCACAAUGGAUUUGUAUAUUCAGUUCCUUCCCCAGGUUUGGGAAGUUCUCAGCUACCAUUUCUUUAAAUAAGCUCUCUACUCCCUUCUCUCUCUCUCCUCAUUCUGUGAUAUCCAUUACCCUUAUGUUGUCAUUUCAAAAGGAGUCAGAUAGUUCUUGUAGAAUUUCUACAUUUUAAAAAGUGUUAGCUGUCUCUCCUCUUCUACCUGCCCCAUUUAUAGCUAUCUUCAAGCUCACUAAUUCUCUCUUCCACAUGACAUGCUCUUUUUACAAUGUUUUCCAAUGCAUUCUUCAUCUCAUUCAUCGAGUUCUUCACCUCCAGAAUUUUUGCUUAGUUCUUCUUGAAAGUUUCGAUCUCUUUGGAGAUUGAAGUAUUCCUUCUGUUCAUUGAUUUCAUUCCUGAGGUCAUGAAACCAUCUUUCUGAGUUUUCUUGAAGUUCACUGAGUUUAUUCAUGAUAGCUAUUUUGAAUUUUUUGUCCAUUAGAUCGAAUCUCCCAUGACUUUAUGUUUGGUUUCGGAGGAUUGUUUUCUGUAGCAAAUACAUUUUUUAUUUAGGUACAGUUUUGUUUUGAUUCAAACUUUUCAAUUGCUUAGAGAUUAGAAGCCUUUUUUUGUUUUCAGUAGGUGUCAUUAUAGUAAUUGUUUUUGAUUUCUCUUACCUGAGCUGUGUCUGGCUAUAUUGGGAUCUGCAAGUUCUAUCCUCCAGCUCCUCUAUUUUGUGUCACAUGGAUACUCUCUUUGUUGCUGCCUGCCCUUCUGGGGCCCACUGAUGGCUUUUUAUUGCUUGCAUUUCUGUGGUUGCUGGCUUUGCUCUCAGGACACGGAAAUGGUCAAUGUAAAGCCACAUCUGAGAUCUACUGAGUGGGAAGCUCCAGCACAGCUGUGGGGAUUGGGGUUGGGGAGGUGGGAGAGAGACUGGUACAAGCAACACUGUCUCAGCUGUUGCCUGUUACCCUUUGGUCCCAGGAAACACUGCUGUUGGGAAGUGGGAGUGCUGUGCACACCUGGUGCCACCAGGCUCUGAGCUGAGGACAGGGGUUUGGGAUCAUGGGACUCCACCUUUGUAGCUCCUCUGCUUCCUGUAGCCACAGGUGUCACUGCCC
rnacentral:lncRNA from 1 species